AAUCACUGGAGAGUAACAAACGUCAUCUUAUGUUCACACCCAAACCUCCUCCCAACUUCUCCUGCAGGUGUCUGAGCAUGAGACAAUACUCUUGCAGCCUUCCAGUGGCCUGUGUUUUCCAGCCAUUGAGUUCCUGCGUGACACUGUGUACAAACGAGCUCUAUCAGUGUCUCUACUGUGCACUGUCAUCCUGGACUGUACUCAUGUCACUAGUAUCGACUAUACAGUGGUUAUGGGGCUGUCAGAGCUCCUUCAACAAUUCCGUCACAGGAGAAUCUCUCUGAUCUUCGUUAACAUGCAGGCUCAUGUGCAUCAAGUCUUGCUGGCUGCUGAUCUGAAAGGAUUCUAUGUUUCCAGCCUGGAGGAUGCAG